ACGUCAGUCACUUACAGCUCCACCCCCGUGGCCCCGCCCUCACCCACUUGCGGAGCCAGGAGCGCGGGCCCCGCCUCUUCACGUCGCCCUGGUUACGCCGGUUCUGUCCUACAGUCUUCCUGCUCUAGGAUUUGACCGGACAGGAUUCUUCAAUCCAGAUCCCCAGGGAGAAUCAGUCUUGAAAAACCAAAGCCAGAAGUUCCGCUGAGUCCAGAGCCCCAGCGGGCCCUCCCGCUUGCCCCCUCCCCAUUUUUCCGUUGGGUUCUCUUGGAUGCCGGCGGGGCGACUACGCGUGCGCCACCCUGCUCGAGUAGCUAGGCAGUCGACUUCUGCGGGCUGGAGAGGCGCGUGCGAGGAGCUGUACCCGUUGCUUGGCUACGGCUCUUUGCUGGAGCCUGCCCGGCGCAGUUCGCAUGAUUAAGCAAAUGCCUUUCCUGGUGCUAGUAGGAACUCUCACCACCACCACCCCCAUUCCCCUCCAACCUUUGCUAGAGGAGAGAAGCCAGAGCCUGGAGGCCAAGUCCUUCAAACUCCAUUGCGACUUCUCUCGGCAGGGCGCGGCCUAAAGCCCACGGCGGAACGCUGGACUUAGACCAGGGAUGUCAGCAGGUCUGUCUGUCGGAGCAGAGGCUCUCCGGAAAAGGAAUACAGCUGGCAUCAAUCAGAUCCACAUCCCUGAGAGGACUGCAUCAACUCUUUUGGAAACUGUCUUCCCACCUUGAUGCCCUGCGCUGUGCAGCUUCUGAAAAUGGUGUGUCCUUAUGGCAACCUCUGUAUUUCUGUGUAAGAGAGGGUUUGGAUUUGGUUAUUUCAGUGCUGGGUGGCCCUUUCUCUGUCACACUCCCCAAAAAGUGAACCAAACCACACUCCAAGUUUAGCAAAAUGUGGACAACCAUCAGUAUCAUUUUUAUUGUAAAUUAGUUAACAAAAAAAAAAGAUGAAAAAAAUACAUCAUUUUCAUUACCUACAGUUUUGCAUGUAGUUUUUUUUUACGCUUCUUUUUUUUUUUUUUGUAAACUACACUUUAUUUUAUACAACACA
rnacentral:lncRNA from 1 species